GACGAACGCUGGCGGCGUGCUUAACACAUGCAAGUCGAACGGAAAGGCCCUGCUUUUGUGGGGUGGUCGAGUGGCGAACGGGUGAGUAACACGUGAGUAACCUGCCCUUGACUUUGGGAUAACUUCAGGAAACUGGGGCUAAUCCCGGAUAGGAGCUCCUGCUGCAUGGUGGGGGUUGGAAAGUUUCGGCGGUUGGGGAUGGACUCGCGGCUUAUCAGCUUGUUGGUGGGGUAGUGGCUUACCAAGGCUUUGACGGGUAGCCGGCCUGAGAGGGUGACCGGCCACAUUGGGACUGAGAUAAGGCCCAGACUCCUACGGGAGGCAGCAGUGGGGAAUAGUGCACAAUGGGCGGAAGCCUGAUGCAGCAACGCCGCGUGCGGGAUGACGGCCUUCGGGUUGUAAACCGCUUUCGCCUGUGACGAAGCGUGAGUGACGGUAAUGGGUAAAGAAGCACCGGCUAACUACGUG
rnacentral:rRNA from 1 species